GCACAAGCAGCGGAGCGUGUGGCUUAAUUCGAUGUUACACGAAGAACCUUACCAGGGUUUGACAUGCAAGUGGUAGGAAGCCGAAAGGUGACCGACCCUUCGGGGAGCUUGCACAGGUGCUGCAUGGCUGUCGUCAGCUCGCGUCGUGAGAUGUUCGGUUAAGUCCGCUAACGAGCGCAACCCUCGCUGUGUGUUACAAGUGUCACACGGAACUGCCGGUCAUAAACCGGAGGAAGGUGGGGAUGACGUCAAGUCAGCAUGGCCUUUAUAUCCUGGGCUACACACGUGCUACAAUGGUUGGUACAACGAGUUGCGAGUCGGUGACGGCGAGCUAAUCUCUUAAAGCCAAUCUCAGUUCGGAUUGUAGGCUGCAACUCGCCUACAUGAAGUCGGAAUCGCUAGUAAUCGCGGAUCAGCACGCCGCGGUGAAUACGUUCCCGGGCCUU
rnacentral:rRNA from 1 species